AGACAGUGCUAUGAUGUCACUAACCCUGUUUCCCUUCCUGCCUGGCAGGCAGCUAAGUAACAAGUCCCAGCACACCUGCAGUUAGCUGGGCGCCUUGUGACUGAGUUCUGCCCCAUGGAAUGUGUGUGAAAGUAGAGGAAGCCACUCCCAGGCUUGGCUCUUGAAACCAAAACUGAAAUCAUGAGCAAGAUCUUCCAUAAACUCUCUUUUCCCUCUUGGCCGUGUGUAGAGGAUGCUUGAUAGAACUCCCAGGAUCUAAUAGGUGAAGGAGCCAAUAGAUGGAAGGAGGCCAGGGUUUCUGAAUGACUGUGUAGAGCAGGUAAUAUUCCCUCCCACACAAACUGCACUGGACUGUGAUGAGAGGAAAAAAUAAAUCUUAUUGGGUGGAGCUACCAAACAAUGUUGUGGUUAUUUGUUAUGGCAGUUAGCGUACACUGAUUAAUAUACUCUCCUUCAUUUUAGACCUAUCUCAGAACAACCGGUAUCCCCCUCCCCUUACUAUCUGUUCCUACUGUUAUGGUUGACGUACAAUUGAUGGAAUCCCUGUGGCAUCUCAGCAUGUUCACAUCAUCCAGAACUGAAAAGAAACCAACAAUGGACAGAAAUUUUGAAAUGGCUUUUGGACAUCAGAAAUAAUAUUUUGAUCUUCAUCACCUGUGAUCAGCAGAUGCACAGAUGUUUGUCUGUUAAAGAGAUUGUUGGAAGUUUUCCUUGCCAUGGUCUGGAUGCUGUGCAGUACAUCUAAAUAAUACAGCUACUCCAGGAUGUGCUAUGAUCCUGUGCUGCUCUUCUCUACAAGCCCAAGACAAGAGAACUCAUGAGAAGCAUUUCCUUCCCGAAUCAAUGGUCUACGCCAAGGUCAAAUGCCCUUUACUUGCACAGUCCUUUCAACACUCCUUUCUUCCACGAAGCCUUCUGCUGACUCUCUGCCCAAGGGGCUUGGAGUGAGGUUCGAGGAGGAUGAGUCAGGGGCUGGAGCAUGAAGGCCAGGAUUCAUCUUGUAUUUCUUCCUUAACUUACCUUUCCUUGUUCUGCUAUGGUUGAAAAACCCUUCUCAAAAACUUCCAGCAGUGUAUACCUGUUUAAAGAAGCAAGGCACAGAGCAAAGGAAAUAAAAUUUGUUGUAUUUAUCAAUA